CGGGGGGAGCAAGCGUUGUUCGGAUUUACUGGGCGUAAAGGGCGCGUAGGCGGCCACCGCAAGUCGACUGUGAAAUCUCCGGGCUUAACCCGGAAAGGCCAGCCGAUACUGCGGGGCUAGAGUGCAGAAGGGGCAACUGGAAUUCUCGGUGUAGCGGUGAAAUGCGUAGAUAUCGAGAGGAACACCUGCGGCGAAGGCGGGUUGCUGGGCUGACACUGACGCUGAGGCGCGAAAGCUAGGGGAGCGAACGGGAUUAGAUACCCCGGUAGUCCUAGCCUUAAACGAUGAAUGCUUGGUGUCUGGGGUUUUAUAGUCCCCGGGUGCCGUCGCUAACGCUUUAAGCAUUCCGCCUGGGGAGUACGGUCGCAAGACUG
rnacentral:rRNA from 1 species